UACAGAGGUCCCAAGCGUUGUUCGGAUUCACUGGGCGUAAAGGGUGCGUAGGUGGCGAGGUAAGUUUGAUGUGAAAGCUCCGGGCUUAACCCGGAAAUGGCAUUGAAUACUAUCUCGCUCGAGGGUUGGAGGGGGGACUGGAAUUCUCGGUGUAGCAGUGAAAUGCGUAGAUAUCGAGAGGAACACCAGUGGCGAAGGCGAGUCCCUGGACAACUCCUGACACUGAGGCACGAAAGCUAGGGGAGCAAACAGGAUUAGAUACCCUGGUAGUCCUAGCCGUAAACGGUGCAUAUUUGCUGUAAAAGGAAUCGACCCCUUUUGUGGCGUAGCAAACGCGAUAAAUAUGCCGCCUGGGAAGUACGGUCGCAAGAUUA
rnacentral:rRNA from 1 species